rnacentral:rRNA from 1 species
AGAUUGAACGCUGGCGGAAUGCUUUACACAUGCAAGUCGAGCGGCAGCGCGGGGGCAACCCUGGCGGCGAGCGGCGAACGGGUGAGUAAUGUAUCGGAACGUACCCAGUCGUGGGGGAUAACUAUCCGAAAGGAUAGCUAAUACCGCAUACGUCCUGAGGGAGAAAGCGGGGGACCGAAAGGCUUCGCGCGAUUGGAGCGGCCGAUAUCGGAUUAGCUAGUUGGUGAGGUAAAGGCUCACCAAGGCGACGAUCCGUAGCUGGUCUGAGAGGACGACCAGCCACACUGGAACUGAGACACGGUCCAGACUCCUACGGGAGGCAGCAGUGGGGAAUUUUGGACAAUGGGGGCAACCCUGAUCCAGCCAUUCCGCGUGAGUGAAGAAGGCCUUCGGGUUGUAAAGCUCUUUCAGCAGGAACGAAACGGUGGUCCUUAAUACGGGCUGCUAAUGACGGUACCUGAAGAAGAAGCACCGGCUAACUACGUGCCAGCAGCCGCGGUAAUACGGAGGAUGCAAGCGU